rnacentral:lncRNA from 1 species
CUAGGGCACUCUCGCGGGACAAUGGGUGUCACGGCAGCCAGCGACCGUUUGUCAUUCACAGCUGCCUGAAAGGAGAACCGCAGUAUUCCCAGGCAGGAAGCUUGGACCAAAAGCAGGAAUGCUUAAGGGCGCAUAUGACUUGCUAUGGUAAAAAACAGGAUGCAAACCCAGGCCUGAUGACAUCCACCGCACUAAAAGCUCAAGACUAGGACUUUCUCCUUUAAACAAGGAUCCACAUGUGGGUGUUUCCUGUGGGAGAGGGAGAGAGGACAUUCGAAGGGCAGAAGUCUGACUUUUGCAAGCACACAUGAACCACACCAAUGAGAAAUGAAUGGAUGAGCCAGAUGCCAAAUUAUAAAUUUCGUACUGCACAGCUUGAAUGUGAAAGUACACGUGGCCAACAAAGAGAAGGGAAGAUGGAGCCACCAUCUUCAACAGGAGUGGCACAACUGUCGGAUCUACGUCUGCAGCUGGAUUUUAUAGGCUUCUCUUCGUUAGAAAGGAAAACUUUACAGAGGACUUCCAUGCCCUCACUAUCUGCCUAAGUAAAUUCUUCUUAACUCCUGUA